GGAAGAAGCAGUGCUGUCUGUCCGAGCGUGCAGAGGUGUUCAGCUGCGAACUCAAAGCAAAGCAAACAGUUCAAUCAGUCUGUGGGAUUUUCAGCAGAGUGACAUUAUGGCAGCAGCAGCAGCACCGGAUGAGGAUUUCAAUCAACCAGAACACAGCAGCUCUG